rnacentral:rRNA from 1 species
CAAUAGCGUAUAUUUAAGUUGUUGCAGUUAAAAAGCUCGUAGUUGGAUUUCGGGUGGGACGCAGCGGUCCCGCAUUGCGUUUGUACUGCUGCAGCCCUCCUUCUUGCCGGGGGCGGCCUCUCGGACUUCACUGUCUGGGGGUCAGAAUCGGCGAUGUUACUUUGAGUAAAUUAGAGUGUUCAAAGCAAGCUUACGCUCUGAAUAUAAUAGCAUGGGAUAACACGACAGGACUCUGGCCUAUCGUGUUGGUCUAUAGGACCAGAGUAAUGAUUAAGAGGGACAGUCGGGGGCAUUCGUAUUCCGUUGUCAGAGGUGAAAUUCUUGGAUUUACGGAAGACGAACAUCUGCGAAAGCAUUUGCCAAGGAUGUUUUCAUUGA